AGAGUUUGAUCCUGGCUCAGGACGAACGCUGGCGGCGCGCCUAACACAUGCAAGUCGAACGGAAUUAAGAGGAGCUUGCUUUUCUUGAUUUAGUGGCGAACGGGUGAGUAACGCGUGAGUAACCUGCCCUGGAGUGGGGGACAACAGUUGGAAACGACUGCUAAUACCGCAUAAGCCCACGGUACCGCAUGGUACUGAGGGAAAAGGAUUUAUUCGCUUUAGGAUGGACUCGCGUCCAAUUAGCUAGUUGGUGAGGUAACGGCCCACCAAGGCGACGAUUGGUAGCCGGACUGAGAGGUUGAACGGCCACAUUGGGACUGAGACACGGCCCAGACUCCUACGGGAGGCAGCAGUGGGGGAUAUUGCACAAUGGGGGAAACCCUGAUGCAGCGACGCCGCGUGGAGGAAGAAGGUCUUCGGAUUGUAAACUCCUGUUGUUGAGGAAGAUAAUGACGGUACUCAACAAGGAAGUGACGGCUAACUACGUGCCAGCAGCCGCGGUAAAACGUAGGUCACAAGCGUUGUCCGGAAUUACUGGGUGUAAAGGGAGCGCAGGCGGGAAGACAAGUUGGAAGUGAAAUCCAUGGGCUCAACCCAUGAACUGCUUUCAAAACUGUUUUUCUUGAGUAGUGCAGAGGUAGGCGGAAUUCCCGGUGUAGCGGUGGAAUGCGUAGAUAUCGGGAGGAACACCAGUGGCGAAGGCGGUCUACUGGGCACCAACUGACGCUGAGGCUCGAAAGCAUGGGUAGCAAACAGGAUUAGAUACCCUGGUAGUCCAUGCCGUAAACGAUGAUUACUAGGUGU
rnacentral:rRNA from 1 species